UACGUAGGGUGCGAGCGUUGUCCGGAAUUAUUGGGCGUAAAGAGCUCGUAGGCGGUGUGUCGCGUCGGCCGUGAAAACCUGGGGCUUAACUCUGGGCGUGCGGUCGAUACGGGCAUGACUGGAGUUCGGUAGGGGAGACUGGAAUUCCUGGUGUAGCGGUGAAAUGCGCAGAUAUCAGGAGGAACACCGGUGGCGAAGGCGGGUCUCUGGGCCGAUACUGACGCUGAGGAGCGAAAGCGUGGGGAGCGAACAGG
rnacentral:rRNA from 1 species